UUUCCAAGCAGUGAAGCACUUGCCGUGUUGAACUGAAUGCACUACUGGAGAAUGUUCUGGGUCCAAGAUGCUCUUGAGAGAAGACUAGGCUUUUCAAAUCAAACACUCAAAGGAAUCAUGCAACCCUCUUAUGACUGGGAUGCCGUCAUGUGCCACUGACCAAUGCUAUCUCUCCAGAAAACCAUUCAAGACUCUUAAAAAAUCAGACUUAUAAUAAAUAUACAUAAAAUGAAGACACCAACUGCUCUUUGACAUGACUACGAUAAUGUCUGUGCUAUGUGGAAGCACAUUUAAAAAGAGCCUAUUCGGCAAAAGGGUUUUAUUUAUUGCUGAGAAGUGUCCUGCCAGAAAACUGCUAUUCUCAGCUCUACUUACAUUGACUAAUAGUGAGUGGAAGUGAUGUGUGGAUAAAAAGCAAAUG
rnacentral:lncRNA from 1 species